rnacentral:rRNA from 1 species
UCGAGAAUCUUCGGCAAUGGGCGCAAGCCUGACCGAGCGACGCCGCGUGGAGGACGAAGGCCUUCGGGUUGUAAACUCCUGUCGAGGGGGAAGAAGCCGCAAGGUUGACUGAUCCCUGGAGGAAGCACGGGCUAAGUUCGUGCCAGCAGCCGCGGUAAGACGAACCGUGCGAACGUUAUUCGGAAUCACUGGGCUUAAAGCGCGUGUAGGUGGGAGGGAACGUCCGUCGCUGAAAUCCCCCGGCUCAACCGGGGAACGGGCGCGGAUACGACCUUCCUGGAGGGACGUAGGGGGACCUGGAACUUCCGGUGGAGCGGUGAAAUGCGUUGAGAUCGGAAGGAACGCCCGUGGCGAAAGCGAGGUCCUGGACGUCUACUGACACUGAGACGCGAAAGCCAGGGGAGCGAACGGGAUUAGAUACCCCCGUAGUCC